rnacentral:rRNA from 1 species
GACGAACGCUGGCGGCGUGCCUAAUACAUGCAAGUCGAGCGAAGCGGCGGAUGGGUGAGUAACGCGUGGGGAAUCUGCCCUUAAGUCUGGGAUAGCAUUUGAAACCAGAUGCAAAUAACGGAUACUUAAGGAUGGACCUGCGUUGCAUUAGCUAGUUGGUAAGGUAACGGCUUACCAAGGCAAUGAUGCAUAGCCGAGUUGAGAGCCUGAUCGGCCACACUGGAACUGAGACACGGCCCAGACUCCUACGGGAGGCAGCAGUAGGGAAUCUUCCACAAUGGACGAAAUUCUGAUGGAGCAACGCCGCGUGAGUGAAGAAGGUUUUCGGAUCGUAAAGCUCUGUUGUUGGUGAAGCGGUAAUCAACCAGAAAGCCACGGCUAACUACGUGCCAGCAGCCGCGGUAAUUC